rnacentral:rRNA from 1 species
UACAGAGGUCUCGAGCGUUGUUCGGAUUCAUUGGGCGUAAAGGGCGCGUAGGCGGCGGGGUAAGUCUGGUGUGAAAUCUAGGAGCUCAACUCCUAAACUGCACUGGAUACUGCUCUGCUAGAGGACUGGAGAGGAGACUGGAAUUCACGGUGUAGCAGUGAAAUGCGUAGAUAUCUGGAGGAACACCGGUGGCGAAGGCGGCAUCCUGGACCGAUACUGACGCUGAGGAGCGAAAGCCAGGGGAGCAAACGGG